UGGGGAAUUUUGGACAAUGGGGGCAACCCUGAUCCAGCAAUGCCGCGUGAGUGAUGAAGGCCUUAGGGUUGUAAAGCUCUUUUACCCGGGGAUGAUAAUGACAGUACCCGGGAGAAUAAGCUCCGGCUAACUCCGUGGC
rnacentral:rRNA from 1 species